rnacentral:rRNA from 1 species
AUUUAAAAUGUAUUUUAUUAUUAGAGUAGUAGUAGUUAAGUUCUUGAAACUUAAAAAAUUUGGCGGUAUUUUAGUCUAUUCAGAGGAACCUGUGGUGUAAUCGAUAAUCCACGUUGGACCUUACUUAAUUUUGUAAUUUUAAAUAUAUCAAUUUGUAUACCGCUGUUAUUUGAGAAUUUUAUAAGGAUAAUAAUUUUCAAAAUUUUUUAUAAGAAAGUAAAUCAGGUCAAGGUGCAGUUUAUAAUUAAGUAUUUCAUGGGUUACAAUAAUUUUAUUUAAACGGAUUAAUUAAUGUAAUUUGAUUAUAAAGGUGGAUUUGAAAGUAAAUUUUUAUAGAUAAAAGAGUUGAUU